UGCCAGACUCCUACGGGAGGCAGCAGUGAGGAAUAUUGGUCAAUGGCCGAGAGGCUGAACCAGCCAAGUCGCGUGAGGGAUGACGGCCCUACGGGUUGUAAACCUCUUUUGUCGGGGAGCAAAGAGAGUCACGUGUGGCUCAUUGAGAGUACCCGAAGAAAAAGCAUCGGCUAACUCCGUGCCAGCAGCCGCGGUAAUACGGAGGAUGCGAGCGUUAUCCGGAUUUAUUGGGUUUAAAGGGUGCGCAGGCGGAUUGAUAGGUUAGAGGUGAAAUGUCCGGGCUCAACUCGGGAACUGCCUCUAAUACUGUUGAUCUAGAGAGUAGAUGCGGUAGGCGGAAUGUAUGGUGUAGCGGUGAAAUGCUUAGAGAUCAUACAGAACACCGAUUGCGAAGGCAGCUUACCAAUCUAUAUCUGACGUUGAGGCACGAAAGCGUGGGGAGCAAACAGGAUUAGAUACCCGAGUA
rnacentral:rRNA from 1 species